ACCAUAAUACAAAAUAGAAUAUGUGUUUAAAAGAGAUGGGUCAAAUUUCAUAGAACAAUUAAGUAAUGUCAGUUAAAUUAAGUGCCUACUAAGUGUCAGAGACUACUGUAAGCUCUAAAUAUACAAAGAAGAAUAAAAGGUAGUCUCUGCUUACAAGGAGUCUAAUGAGGGAGACAACAUGCAAAUAAUUAUGUAUGAAUGAGAUACAGACAAAGUAAAUAGGAGGGAAUCAACAGAGGCUGUUUAAAAUAGACUAAUCAGUCACUCAACAAACAUUUACUUAGGGAUUAAGUGCCAGUAUGCUUAAUGACUGGAGAUACAAAGAGAUUCUAUUCUAAUAAAGGAGACAAGUAAAUAAAUAGGCAUAUUAAUGAUGCAUCCAGAAUAGAUAGAAACUGACCAACAAGAGGAAGGUCCUACUUGGAGAAGAGUAGGGACCCAGGGCAGAGGACUGGAAAUUCUCCUUGGAGAUGUGGCAUUUGAGCAGAGUUUUGAAGCAACCCAAGAAUUCUAAAGAAGGAAAUGUGAAGAUUCUCAGCUUCUUAAUGGAUCCAGUUCUACCUCCAAGAACAUGGUCUAGUGGAGUGUCUCUUGAAUCUGUAGUGGACACAGGGCUUAAAGUCUUUCAGUACAAUUCAAGUCUCAUCAAUAACCAUUUGUGUGCCUCCUGUGUGCAUGGGAGUGAAUUCAAAAUUUGACUCAGAUAUUAGGUAAAUGAAUUUGGGAUAUCUGCUGAUUUAAAAAUGCAGUGACCACAGGGAUGAGGAUUUUCUACUCCAGUUCCUGAAGUCUUUAAAGCCCUGCUGUUUAGUUGUUAGAAAUAAAAUUAAAUUGUACAGCA
rnacentral:lncRNA from 1 species